GUGAAUCAUCGAAUUUUUGAACGCAAAUUGCACUCUCUGGUAUUCCGGAGAGUAUGCCUGUUUGAGGGUCAGUUUAAAUAAAAAUCGGUGUGGUUGCUGCCUUUCGUGGUGACGCACCGGAGUUGGGUCGUCUUACCUCCGGUUAAGUGACCUAAAAUCACGCAUGAUGUUUUCGAACGUAUUUAAAUGAUUUUACGUACGUUUGCGAUAUCGAAUACUAGGUGUGAUCAUGCACAUGAUUCUCGCCUAUAAUUUUUCACUCAA
rnacentral:misc_RNA from 1 species